rnacentral:rRNA from 1 species
AACGAACGCUGGCGGUGUGCCUCAUACAUGCAAGUCGUACGCGAAUCCUGCCGCAAGGCAGGGUUUGAGUGGCAAACGGGUGCGUAACACGUAGGUAAUCUUCCUUUGAGUUGGGGAUAAGCCCUCGAAAGGGGGUCUAAUACCGAAUAACACUUCGGGCCGGCAUCGGCCUGAAAUUAAAGAUGGCCUCUGCUGCAAGCUAUCGCUCGGAGAUGAGCCUGCGGCCGAUUAGUUAGUUGGCGGGAUAAAAGCCCACCAAGACUUCGAUCGGUAGCCGGUCUGAGAGGAUGUCCGGCCACACUGGGACUGAGAUACGGCCCAGACUCCUACGGGAGGCAGCAGUAGGGAAUAUUGCGCAAUGGCCGCAAGGCUGACGCAGCAACACCGCGGUGGGGGA